CCACACGCCUGCCAACGAGCGCCCCCGCGACUCCAUCUCCCAAAAGGCUACCACCGUGGUGGGUGGCUGCAUCUAUUUCAAGACACAUGGAACCAGCAUCAUUCGCUACCAGCUCUUCGACGGGCCAGCGGCCGAUCGCCUGUCGUUCAUCGAGCUCCUGCGGUUCAACCCGUACACGGUUGAAGGCACGGUGCUCGUCCCGGCAGUUGGUGGUCGGCUCCGAUUUGCUGCAUUCGAUCCAGUCAAAAAGCACCAUCACGUCAGAUUAUGGGAGAAGGUUGUUGGUUCCGACGGAGCCCUGCAGUGGAUCCGUCAGGCGCGGUUCAAGCUCCCAGUGCCCGGCGUCCGCUUGAUGGGUUUCGUGGAGACACCCCCUUCCUUGAUCCUGACACGAAGGACCAUGGACCAAUCUGCAUCAACAUGGAGACCCGCGAGUGGAACAAGUUGCCGAAACCCAACGGUCGGUUUGAUUUGCUCCCGAUAAUGAGCUUCUACCAUCCUCUCCUUCCGGGUCAGGCACCCCGUGAGCGUGAUGAGACCUCCCCAAGCCAUGAUGAGGACGAAGCAAUCGGUUCUUCUGCUUCUAGGAUCAGAAUUUUUUCCAGAUCGGUGUUAGGUCGUCCUACUGAUAAAUGAUGACUCCAUGGAGCUGAAUAUGCAUUGUGCUACGGACAAAACUGAGAAUAGCUGCUGAAGGUGAUGGAGACGAACGGGUGCAUAAGAGGCUCAAGUGAUGUUGCAAGUGAUGUUGCAAAGUCUUCUAACUAACUUCUAAGAAGUGUUAAUGGUAAUCAUAGAGAGCUUAUCUGGAUAACUCUUGAGGAUCUAUGACUUUACUGCUCAUCAUGUUGUGCUGGUUUCAUGCUUUCUGAAUCUUCUGUAUGAGCCAUUAGCUAUAAUGUAGUAGCUUACCUGCUGGGUGUAAAGCAUAAUGGAGCUUAUCUGUAAGGUGGUGCCCAAGCAGUAUCCUACUCUCUGGGUGCUUUACGUUUCCAUCAGACUGAACGAAUAUAAUUCCUGUUAUCUGAAUGUCCUGGUGCUCAGGAAAAUGAGCGUAUGAUAUUUCAUUUGUUUCAA